GGAGGGGUACCAAAGUGGCCAAAUGGGGCGGACUGUAAAUCCGUUGCGAAAGCUUCGUAGGUUCGAAUCCUACCCCCUCCACCA
rnacentral:tRNA from 1 species